rnacentral:rRNA from 1 species
CCCUUAGAUGUUCUGGGCCGCACGCGCGCUAAACUGACGAUGGCAACGAGUUUUUCCUUCGCCGAAAGGUGUGGGUAAUCUUUUGAAACAUCGUCGUGCUGGGGAUAGAUCAUUGCAAUUUUUGAUCUUGAACGAGGAAUUCCUAGUAAGCGCGAGUCAUCAGCUCGCGUUGAUUACGUCCCUGCCCUUUGUACACACCGCCCGUCGCUACUACCGAUUGAAUGGUUUAGUGAGGACUCCUGAUUGGCGCCGCCGCCCCGGCAACGGAGCAGCGGACUGCCGAAAAGUUGUUCAAACUUGAUCAUUUAGAGGAAGUAAAAGUCGUAACA